CUGGAAGUGUAAUUAAAAGUCUAAUUAAGUAAUUUUAGCAUUAAUUCUUGGCUUGUAGUUGUUUACUCUUUUGAUUUAAUUGCAUUUUAAAUAAUUUUUUCACAUAGUUUUAAAUGCUCACAUUAUUUGAAAAUAUUGAUUUAUAAAGAAAACCAAAUGAUCUUAAUUCUUAGUAUGGUAAGAAUUCUUAGUAUCUAGGAAUUUACAUAAAAAUCUAUUUUCACUUGUAUACAGUGGAGGGCGCUAUUAUGCAUCUUCUGAAAGAGUACAGAAUUUCCAGAUUAAAAUACAGGCGAAUAAGAAUCAGAAACAAGAGGGCAAACUCCAAAUGGAGGUGAGCAUCCCUAUCCCCUACUCAAGGGCAGAGCCUUGAAGUGGGGACUUUGAAGGGAGCAGGACACUGGCGUACCAUUAUGUAGUUGUUAGGAACACACUUGGUGAAGGGAGCAGUGAAAUGCCACUUAAUUUCCUCAUUACCUUCACCUGGGAGUGUUCCCAUAACAAGGCAGCACGGGGUCCAUCAGCGGAUUAGCUAUUCUUAUGAAAGAAAUGUCUUUUUAUUGCUGUUAACAUAAGAGUUGCAAAUAAAUAUACAUUUAUAUUCAUUGGUUUAAAAUGUGUUAUAUGUGUGUGUGAGAGUGUAUGUCUUCACUCUCAAAUAACUUGCCGCCUCAUCUUUGGACCAUACAUUACCUAACAAAUUUCUUACCUAUGAAACUUAUUUAAACAACACAUGACAAAAAUGUGUGAAAUAUAUCACAAAAAACAUCACAACUUGAAUUUCUCUGUUUGUAAGUCAACUCGAACUAGACUUGGCUUUCUUGCAAAGUCAAAACCUGAGAUUAAACCCCCUACAAUAAAACAACAAAACGGACCCCUGGAGGGAAAGCGUGAGAGAAAGAACACAGGACACCUCCUUGUCCAGACGUAUCUCAUUGCUUAUCUAUGCAACCACCCUCUACCGACUCCCUUCCCCCCGAUUAAAGUCACUUAGAAUUUCUGUAUUGUUUUUUCCUUUCAUAUCUGGUAGUAUUUUAAAUGUCUAAGUGUGAUUGGUAAAAUGGUCUAAUUUUUUUUAAACUAGUAUACUGUGAAGGAUACAGAGAAGGUGGCACACGACAAUCCCAUCUUUCCCAAAUGUGCACAUCCACUCACAGCAUCCAAUGAACAAAAGGAAUGGUUUCAACAAGUGUCUGUCCACAAAAUUGAACAAAUACUGUGCAACAAGAGGGUUCUCAAAGAUGUGAAGAAACUCAGUCAUCAUUUCCAGACAUCUUCCCUGGAGGCAUUCCAUAGCCUAAUUCUUCGUUUUACACCUAAAAAUGUAGUGUUCCCUUUCAUUGGAAUGUUGUGCAGGUAAUACAGAGAUAAACUUGGUAUUUUCAAUAAUAUUUAAAGUAGAUCUUGCCUUUAACCGGUCUAUUUUGUUCUGGCAGACUAUACCUUGCCGUGCUUCAUCAUAACGAAAAUGCCAACAGGGAACAAGCCACAACAUCAACAGGACCAGGGGGUUUACAAAAUUGUGUUCCCGAAAUCCAAAAAAGGGGCAUGCAUAGCACGGCCAAAAAAAAAAAAAAAAAAGGAACCAAACUUUAUUA